rnacentral:rRNA from 1 species
UACGUAGGGACCAAGCGUUGUUCGGAUUUACUGGGCGUAAAGGGCGCGUAGGCGGCUUCUUAAGUCAGGGGUGAAAUCCUGGAGCUCAACUCCAGAACUGCCUUUGAUACUGGGAGGCUCGAGUCCGGGAGAGGUGAGUGGAACUGCGAGUGUAGAGGUGAAAUUCGUAGAUAUUCGCAAGAACACCAGUGGCGAAGGCGGCUCACUGGCCCGGUACUGACGCUGAGGUGCGAAAGCGUGGGGAGCAAACAGG